UACGAAGGACCCAAGCGUUAUCCGGAUUUAUUGGGUUUAAAGGGUGCGUAGGCGGGUUAUUAAGUCAGUGGUGAAAGCUCCUAGCUCAACUGGGAAAUUGCCAUUGAUACUGAUGAUCUUGAGUAUGAUUGAGGUGGCGGAAUGUGUCAUGUAGCGGUGAAAUGCUUAGAUAUGACACAGAACACCGAUUGCGAAGGGCAGCUCACUAAGCCAUAACUGACGCUGAUGCACGAAAGCGUGGGGAGCAAACAGGA
rnacentral:rRNA from 1 species